ACGAACGACGCCACGCCGCCCGAUAUCCCCGUCUGAUCGUCGGGGGACUUGAUGAAGCUGGGCGUGCCUGUGAGGGGAGAGGCAGCGAGACAAAAGGAGCAGGGAGAGGAUCUAACGGUGAGCGUCAGCCGAUUCCACUUUUACGAGUCAUCAACGGAAAACGCUUGACGAACUCUGGUCAGCAGAUCUUAAAGAUGCGGAGGUGGAAUUGGAGAUGAGGAACUCUGAGACCGGGUAUAAUGUGGAGGCAGUUCAUGCCGUUCCAAACAAAUAAAAGAGAACGCUGAAAUACUGAAAUGCUAAUGCGGGUGCAGAGAGUCAAGCCUUCAGCCCAGAUGAGUUUUCUCUUUUUCUUUCUUUUAUACCAGUGAGGAGCCUCACAUUUGAGAUUUGGUGCCACAUUCCACAUGUUAAUAAUAUUUAAUGUGUUUAAUUAAAGAUGUAUUCAUUUUCUGUAGAGGCCGACCUUGGUCCACGGUUGCCACGGACAUCUCGUCGCCCGGGAAAAGACUAUUUUGAACGACGACGGAGUUAAAACUCACUUUAAAAGUGAGAUCGGUCUUGUGUUGGCUAAUCCUAAUUUUACAGUGAUUAUUGCUCUCGUUUUAGUGCCACUUACCUGUGUUUUGCACUUUUAUUCCACGUCUUUGUUUUAUAGUGUUUUAUCCUAAUGUAGUUUUUAUUGAACAGGACUUUUGCAGAAUUACAACUUCCAUAUUGUGCUGACAUUUUUCUCCUUUUGUGAAGAGAACCUCCUGUGUUUGCACAGUAGUUUCAUACGUGAUUAUGUAUUUAUUGUUAUUAAUGAAAUAUUUGCUUAAG